CAGGUCCCAGUGCUCCACCAGUGCAAAUAGUGGCGGUGACAGCACAUCCACCUCAGAGAGGACAAGACAAUCAGGUUUAUGAAAAUGACGACCAGGGACCAUCCAACGCCUCCAGGCCUCAGAGCAGCGGCAGCGGCCUGUAUCCUAACUUGAACCAAUUUACCUUUGAAAGGGUGGAAAGUCAGAGAACGAGGCAGAGAUUUCAUAUAGGUGAUUGAUAACAAUCAAUAUCAGUAAUAUAUUAACAGUGAUAGUGUGUGGAGUGUGGAGUAAACCUGCCUUCUCUCAUCAAUUUAGAGCUCUUCAGCAGAUUACGGCAAGCGAGUGCUCGACAUUUCUAUGUCAAUCAAAGUGAACUCAACAAACAACAACCCAUGUCAAAGCAGAAUCAGCACACAGCAGGAUUGGAGAGACGAAAGAAAACCAACGAAAGUGAGUGCUAACUUAACCCGUGACCAUGUUAGCCAUGACAUAAUACAGCGCACUGAUCUGCUCUCCCACCUUUCCACUGUUUCCUUCUCAGACUUUGAAUACAAAAACCCGAUUUACAACAGUAGCACAGAGCAGCUCCACCGUACCUAAAGAAGGGAAAACAUUUAUUGUAAAGCUCCUCUGACAGAGACAGCUAUUGAUUAUGCAUUUUACUGUUUGACCAUUUAAAUACUCAACAUGCAAGAAUCUGAAACAUAUUGUUAACAGUGACACCUGUGGCUGUUCAGAGAACUGCAGCCAGCGUCCUGAUGCUGUGUUGAAAAUGUUAGUUUAUGUUCCCAGCUGUUUUGUUAUUAUUUUUUUCACUGUAAUCUUGUGAUAUGUUUUAUAUGUAAUGUACAUGAUGGCAAUUUAGCCAACUUUCAUCAACUUAGCUGCACUGCAUUGAUCUGUUUUAGUUUCUUUGUAAUGUCAGCUACAUUCAGUCAUUAUUCACCUACAGCAGAAACCACACAGUCACCUUUACAGCAGAAGGCCCAGACCACACAUGUGGCCGUGGAGCUGAUGUACAUGUAAUUUAAAAACAAAUGCCACAGGAAACAACACUUUAGAGGAAGAUGCGGUCAUGUACGCAUCACAUUUUGUUUCUACCUGCAGUUAUAGUUCAUUUUCACUUGCGAUAGUCACGUUUGUAGUUAAACUGCAAGUGCGAACCAAGUGUUCAAACUGCCUGCAGAGGUGUAGAAAGCAUCUCAUGAUUAAUGUUUAAAACAAUGUUUUCAAAAAUAUAUUUAAUCUUCAGGCAAAACUUUCCCAUCUGUCUUUACCGUCUCACCCCUAACACUCGGAAAAGUCCCAUCCUCAACAACGCAUUUGUCAUGUACUAUACGACCACAGAUGGGCAGCGGUUACGCACACAGCAGUCAUUUCAGAGGCCUGAAAUGAUCCAGCCUCAUGCUGAACUGAACGGUUAGAUUAGAGGUCAAGGGUUAAGAGUUUUAUUUAAGCAGAUUUCUUUACAAAAAACCUUCUUCGCAUAGUAUUGUAGGAAACUAUUAAAGUUUUACUCAUCACAUACUGUGAUGGUGUCAAUUUUUCAACACCUUCAUUUAUUCAAAUUGUAACAGGACCCUCAAAGGUAAUGUGUGCU
ensembl:lncRNA